CACCGCGGUUAUACGAGAGGCCCAAGCUGACAGCUACCGGCGUAAAGAGUGGUUAAUUCACCCCCACAAACUAAAGCCGAACAUCUCCAAAGUUGUAAAACGCACUCGAAGGUAUGAAGAUCACCCACGAAAGUGGCUUUAUAACCCUUGAACCCACGAAAACUAGGGAA
rnacentral:rRNA from 1 species